rnacentral:rRNA from 1 species
GACGACGCUGGCGGCGUGCUUAACACAUGCAAGUCGAACGGUGACGAGGAGCUUGCUCCUCUGAUCAGUGGCGAACGGGUGAGUAACACGUGAGCAACCUGCCCCAGACUCUGGGAUAACAGUUGGAAACAGCUGCUAAUACCGGAUACGAGACGGAGAGGCAUCUCUACCGUCUGGAAAGUUUUUCGGUCUGGGAUGGACUCGCGGCCUAUCAGCUAGUUGGUGAGGUAAUGGCUCACCAAGGCGACGACGGGUAGCCGGCCUGAGAGGGCGACCGGCCACACUGGGACUGAGACACGGCCCAGACUCCUACGGGAGGCAGCAGUGGGGGAAUAUUGCACAAUGGGCGAAAGCCUGAUGCAGCGACGCCGCGUGAGGGAUGACGGCCUUCGGGUUGUAAACCUCUUUCAGCAGGGAAGAAGCGAAAGUGACGGUACCUGCAGAAGAAGCACCGGCUAACUACGUG